UACGGGGGGAGCAAGCGUUGUUCGGAUUUACUGGGCGUAAAGGGCGCGUAGGCGGCCAGCGCAAGUCAGUUGUGAAAUCUCCGGGCUUAACUCGGAACGGUCAACUGAUACUGCGCGGCUAGAGUGCAGAAGGGGCAACUGGAAUUCUCGGUGUAGCGGUGAAAUGCGUAGAUAUCGAGAGGAACACCUGCGGCGAAGGCGGGUUGCUGGGCUGACACUGACGCUGAUGCGCGAAAGUGUGGGUAGCAAACAGG
rnacentral:rRNA from 1 species